ACUAAGGUUAGAAAUUUCACUCUCUGUGUGUGUGCUUGUGUGUGUGUGUGAGCUUGUUUCGUCUUAAUUUUUCUUCAUUUUAGUGGGGGGACAUAUCUUACUCAGGUUUUGAGUAGAAGAAGAACAGCACAUUUAAAUCUCAUCCCAACCUCUCUUCCAUUCUCUCCACCAACAGCACAGGUAGAGCAUUUCGGAGACAAAAUGCAUAUCAUUGUUAUUUAUGAUCAUCCAAAAAUAGUGCAAGGUUUCAUGGCCAAAGUACUUCCAACCACAACUUUUCUUGAACUGAAAAAAAAGAUGGAAUCCAAUUUUGGUGCUAAAGUGGAUCGACAAAACCUUUGGCUUAAUGGAUUGGAUUUGAGAGAUGAUUACGAUGUUCAAUUCUAUGAACUAACAGAUGGAUCAGAAAUCGUUCUCACUUAUGAUCGAUUGACUCCAGGAGAGAAAUUUAAAAUUGUUGUUGAAACACAUAACAGAAGGUUCAAGUUCAGAUUGGAGGUGGAAGAGACCAUGACUGUUAGAAAAUUGAAGAAGAAAAUCCAGAAACUUUCAAACAUUUCAGCUAAAUAUAUGAAACUCUUAUACUUUGGCCAUGAAAUGGAAGAUCAGCUUGACAUCUCUGCCUAUUUUGUUUCUGGGGGUUCAGAAAUAAGUGUGAGGAGUUCAUAGUCAAGACCUGAUAAUGUGCUUUCUUGAGAAUAUUUUGGUUUUAUUUUUUUGUUCUUCCAAUUGAUCUUUUUUGCUUCUUGGUAUUAGACUAAUUAAAAAAUGGGGAAAUAGUGAAAAAGCUAUAGAUGGUUUGAUAGUUUUUUUGGAAGUUUGAGAACAUUGUAGUAUUUGUUUCAUGUUUAAUCUUUUUUUUGUCUUUUUAAAGAGUGCUGAGUGAAAUGAGUAUAUCUUACCAUAAUGGAGUACUGGUUUGAGAUAUUCAUGAAGUGGCAUGUUUCAAAAUUUCAGUUAAUAAGAGAUCUAGUGUGUCAACUUGAUAAUUUCAAGUUGGAUUGGAA